rnacentral:rRNA from 1 species
UUCCGGUUGAUCCUGCCGGAAGUUACUGCUAUCGAGGUUCGACUAAGCCAUGCGAGUCGAAUGUAGCAAUACAUGGCGAACUGCUCAGUAACACGUGGACAACCUGCCCUUAGGACGGGGAUAAACCCGGGAAACUGGGUAUAAUACCCGAUAGGUCUCGAUUGCUGGAAUGCAACGAGAUUUAAAGCUCCGGCGCCUAAGGAUGGGUCUGCGGCCUAUCAGGUAGUAGUGGGUGUAGCGUACCUACUAGCCUACGACGGGUACGGGUUGUGAGAGCAAGAGCCCGGAGAUGGAUUCUGAGACACGAAUCCAGGCCCUACGGGGUGCAGCAGGCGCGAAAACUUUACAAUGCUGGCAACAGCGAUAAGGGAACCUCGAGUGCCAGGUUACAAAUCUGGCUGUCGAGAUGCCUAAAAAGCAUUUCAUAGCAAGGGCCGGGCAAGACCGGUGCCAGCCGCCGCGGUAACACCGGCGGCUCGAGUGGUAACCGUUAUUAUUGGGGCUAAAGGGUCUGUAGCCGGCCGGAUAAGUCUCUUGAGAAAUCUGGCAGCUUAACUGUCAGGCUUUCAGGAGAUACUGUCUGGCUCGAGGCUGGGAGAGGUGAGAGGUACUUCAGGGGUAGGGGUGAAAUCUUGUAAUCCUUGAAGGACCACCAGUGGCGAAGGCGUCUCACCAGAACGGACCUGACGGCAAGGGACGAAAGCUAGGGGCACGAACCGGAUUAGAUACCCGGGUAGUCCUAGCCGUAAACGAUACUCGCUAGGUGUCGGCCACGGUGCGACCGUUGUCGGUGCCGUAGGGAAGCCGUGAAGCGAGCCACCUGGGAAGUACGGCCGCAAGGCUGAAACUUAAAGGAAUUGGCGGGGGAGCACCACAACGGGUGGAGCUUGCGGUUUAAUUGGAGUCAACGCCGGG